rnacentral:rRNA from 1 species
ACAGACGAGGAGCUUGCUCCUCUGACGUUAGCGGCGGACGGGUGAGUAACACGUGGAUAACCUACCUAUAAGACUGGGAUAACUUCGGGAAACCGGAGCUAAUACCGGAUAAUAUAUUGAACCGCAUGGUUCAAUAGUGAAAGACGGUUUUGCUGUCACUUAUAGAUGGAUCCGCGCCGCAUUAGCUAGUUGGUAAGGUAACGGCUUACCAAGGCAACGAUGCGUAGCCGACCUGAGAGGGUGAUCGGCCACACUGGAACUGAGACACGGUCCAGACUCCUACGGGAGGCAGCAGUAGGGAAUCUUCCGCAAUGGGCGAAAGCCUGACGGAGCAACGCCGCGUGAGUGAUGAAGGUCUUCGGAUCGUAAAACUCUGUUAUUAGGGAAGAACAAAUGUGUAAGUAACUAUGCACGUCUUGACGGUACCUAAUCAGAAAGCCACGGCUAACUACGUGCCAGCAGCCGCGGUAAUACGUAGGUGGCAAGCGUUAUCCGGAAUUAUUGGGCGUAAAGCGCGCGUAGGCGGUUUUUUAAGUCUGAUGUGAAAGCCCACGGCUCAACCGUGGAGGGUCAUUGGAAACUGGAAAACUUGAGUGCAGAAGAGGAAAGUGGAAUUCCAUGUGUAGCGGUGAAAUGCGCAGAGAUAUGGAGGAACACCAGUGGCGAAGGCGACUUUCUGGUCUGUAACUGACGCUGAUGUGCGAAAGCGUGGGGAUCAAACAGGAUUAGAUACCCUGGUAGUCCACGCCGUAAACGAUGAGUGCUAAGUGUUAGGGGGUU